rnacentral:rRNA from 1 species
UACAGAGGCUAGCACUGCCCCAUGGCGUACAUUUUUUCUGGUCGCCCACUGAAGCUAAGCAGGGCUGCGCCCGGUCAGCAUCUAGAUGGGAGACCAAAUGGGAAAGCUAGGUUGCUUCUGGAC